rnacentral:sRNA from 1 species
AGUGAACUUCGUUUGAAACGGCAUCCUUUUUCUUUUUUCCUUUAAAAAGAAAAAGAUAAUGUGGAAAGCGGGAAAUAGC